rnacentral:rRNA from 1 species
CCUACGGGCGACAGCAGUGGGGAAUAUUGGGCAAUGGGCGCAAGCCUGACCCAGCAACGCCGCGUGAAGGAAGAGGCUUUCGGGUUGUAAACUUCUUUUCUGAGGGACGAAGAAAGUGACGGUACCUCAGGAAUAAGCCACGGCUAACUACGUGCCAGCAGCCGCGGUAAUACGUAGGUGGCAAGCUUUAUCCGGAUUUAUUGGGUGUAAAGGGCGUGUAGGCGGGAAAGCAAGUCAGAUGUGAAAACUCAGGGCUCAACCCUGGGCCUGCAUUUGAAACUGUUUUUCUUGAGUGCUGGGGAGGCGAUCGGAAUGCCGGGUGUAGCGGUGAAAUGCGUAGAUAUACGGAGGAACACCAGUGGCGAAGGCGGAUUGCUGGACAGUGACUGACGCUGAGGCGCGAAAGCGUGGGUAGCAAACAGGAUUAGAUACCCGGGUAGUC